rnacentral:rRNA from 1 species
CGGCAGACGGGUGAGUAACGCGUGGGAACAUACCUUUUGGUUCGGAACAACACAGGGAAACUUGUGCUAAUACCGGAUAAGCCCUUACGGGGAAAGAUUUAUCGCCNAAAGAUUGGCCCGCGUCUGAUUANCUAGUUGGUGAGGUAAUGGCUCACCAAGGCGACGAUCAGUANCUGGUCUGAGAGGAUGAUCAGCCACAUUGGGACUGAGACACGGCCCAAACUCCUACGGGAGGCAGCAGUGGGGAAUAUUGGACAAUGGGCGCAAGCCUGAUCCAGCCAUGCCGCGUGAGUGAUGAAGGCCCUAGGGUUGUAAAGCUCUUUUGUGCGGGAAGAUAAUGACGGUACCGCAAGAAUAAACCCCGGCUAACUUCGUGCCAGCANCCGCGGUAAUACGAAGGGGGCUAGCGUUGCUCGGAAUCACUGGGCGUAAAGGGUGCGUAGGCGGGUCUUUAAGUCAGGGGUGAAAUCCUGGAGCUCAACUCCAGAACUGCCUUUGAUACUGAGGAUCUUGAGUUCNGGAGAGGUGAGUGGAACUGCNAGUGUANAGGUGAAAUUCNNANAUAUUCGCAAGAACACCAGUGGCGAANGCGGCUCACUGGCCCGAUACUGACGCUGANGCACGAAAGCGUGGGGAGCAAACANGAUUAGAUACCCUGG